UACGUAGGGUGCAAGCGUUGUCCGGAAUUAUUGGGGCGUAAAGGGCUCGUAGGCGGUCUGUCACGUCGGGAGUGAAAACUCAGGGCUUAACCCUGAGCCUGCUUCCGAUACGGGGCAAACUAGAGUGUGGUAGGGGAGACUGGAAUUCCUGGUGUAGCGGUGAAAUGCGCAGAUAUCAGGAGGAACACCGGUGGCGAAGGCGGGUCUCUGGGCCAUAACUGACGCUGAGGAGCGAAAGCGUGGGGGAGCGAACAGG
rnacentral:rRNA from 1 species